AUUGAACGCCGGCGGCAGGCCUAACACAUGCAAGUCGAGCGAGCGGCGGACGGGUGAGUAAUGUCUGGGAAACUGCCUGAUGGAGGGGGAUAACUACUGGAAACGGUAGCUAAUACUGCAUACCAUCAGAUGUGCCCAGAUGGGAUUAGCUAGUAGGUUGGGUAACGGCCCACCUAGGCGACGAUCCCUAGCUGGUCUGAGAGGAUGACCAGCCACACUGGAACUGAGACACGGUCCAGAAUCCUACGGGAGGCAGCAGUGGGGCAUAUUGCACAAUGGGCGCAAGCCUGAUGCAGCCAGGCCGCGUGUGUGAAGAAGGCCUUCGGGUUGUAAAGCACUUUCAGCGGGGAGGCGUUACCCGCAGAAUAAGCACCGGCUAACUCCGUGCCAGCAGCCGCGGUAAUAC
rnacentral:rRNA from 1 species